CGAAGCAGUGACACAGAAGGAUAGGACGAGCGCGGUGAUGGUCAACCGCGUAGGCGGCACAAGGCUGGGGAGCAGUAAAGUACACUUCCCGGGAAGGCUGAGUGCUGACAGGACCGAAAAAGAGUAGGGAAGCGUCUGAGUUCACGCUGGCGAGAAAAGCUGCUAAGGAGAGUGUGAGUGCCCGUACCGGAAACCGACGCAUGUGGGCGAGGAGAGAAUCCUGAGACGGACGGGGGAACUCUAGUUAAGGAACUCGGCAAAAUGACCCCGUAACUUCGGGAGAAGGGGUGCCUCGAAAGAGGCCGCAGAGAAUAGUCACAAGCGACUGUUUAGCAAAAACACAGGUAUCUGCGAAAGCGAGAGCUGACGUAUAGGUGCUGACGCCUGCCCGGUGCUGGAAGGUUAAGGGGAAGUGUUAGGGGAAACCCGAAGCAGAGAACCGAAGCCCCAGUAAACGGCGGCCGUAACGAUAACGGUCCUAAGGUAGCGAAAUUCCUUGUCGGGUAAGUUCCGACCCGCACGAAUGGCGUAACGACUUGUGAGCUGUCUCAACAGGAAGCCCGGUGAAAUUGAAGUAUGUGUGAAGAUGCACAUUACCCGCGACUGGACGGAAAGACCCCGUAGAGCUUUACUGUAACCUGACAUUGGAUCUUGAUAACGGAUGCACAGGGUAGGUGGGACGCUGGGAGGUAUGGACUUUGGUCUGUACGGAGCGGACGUUGGGAUACCACUCUUCUGUUAUUGAGAUUCUAACCUCAAGCCGUAAGCCGGAUGAGAGACAGUGUCAGGCGGACAGUUUGACUGGGGCGGUCGCCUCCGAAAGAGUAACGGAGGCGCCCAAAGGUACCCUCAGAAUGGAUGGAAACCAUUCGAAGAGAGCAAAGUCAGAAGGGUGCUUGACUGCGAGACCAGCAAGUCGAGCAGGUACGAAAGUAGGGCUUAGUGAUCCGGCGGUAAGAGAGUGGAAUUGCCGUCGCUCAACGGAUAAAAGCUACCUCGGGGAUAACAGGCUGAUCUCCCCCAAGAGUUCACAUCGACGGGGAGGUUUGGCACCUCGAUGUCGGCUCGUCGCAUCCUGGGGCUGAAGCAGGUCCCAAGGGUUUGGCUGUUCGCCAAUUAAAGCGGCACGCGAGCUGGGUUCAGAACGUCGUGAGACAGUUCGGUCCCUAUCCAUCGUGGGCGAAGGACACAUGAGAGGAGCUGCUCCUAGUACGAGAGGACCGGAGUGGACGCAUCACUGGUGCAACUGUUGUCGUGCCAACGGCACAGCAGGGAAGCGAAAUGCGGAUGGGAUAAACGCUGAAGGCAUCUAAGCGUGAAGCCCACCUCAAGAAUAAGUGUCCCAUUCGAAAGAAGUAAGACCCCUGGAAGACUACCAGGUGAUAGGUCAUCGGUGAAAGAGCGGUAACGUUUGGAGCUUGAUGAUACUAAUCGGUCGAGGACUUGACC
rnacentral:rRNA from 1 species